rnacentral:rRNA from 1 species
CCUACGGGAGGCAGCAGUGAGGAAUAUUGGUCAAUGGCCGGGAGGCUGAACCAGCCAAGUCGCGUGAGGGAAGACGGCCCUACGGGUUGUAAACCUCUUUUGUCAGGGAGCAAGGUGCAGGUCGGGACCUGCUGUGAGAGUACCUGAAGAAAAAGCAUCGGCUAACUCCGUGCCAGCAGCCGCGGUAAUACGGAGGAUGCGAGCGUUAUCCGGGUUUAUUGGGUUUAAAGGGUGCGCAGGCGGAGGCACAAGUCAGCGGUAAAAUAGCGGGGCUCAACCCCGCUCCGCCGUUGAAACUGGGUCCCUUGAGUGCGCGAAGGGUAGGCGGAAUGCGUGGUGUAGCGGUGAAAU